AGGCCAGUGUUUGCUAUGCGGUCGAAGCAUUGGAGAAGGUUGUCGCUUUUUAUCAGAAUUCUUACAAACAAAUUGAUGUCAACAAUGAAUAUGGAUGGCUCAGGGCUGAAGAAGGCCUUUGGAAAACACGGCUAUGUCGUGUUAUAAUAGGUGCACUACAGCAGUCCAAACCUUCAUUAUCAGAGGCUGAAAUAAAAAAAUACAGCUAAAAAAUCUCCGGUCUUCUCCCGAUAGAUGUGGGGGUAUGGGACGACAAAAGGGGAAAUCGGCGAUUGAUGUGUGUUCAGAUUCUGAAUAAGUAGGCCUUAAGCCAAUUGUUUAUCAAAAUUAUUUUUGUUCAUUUGGGAUAUGAUCUGGGAAAACCCAUCACAUGGUGAAAUAAAAAAUACUGGUUUUAGUAUCAUAUGAAAGCUAUUAAGCCCUUUCCAAAACUGUUUUUAUUUAAUUUACAAAUUGUUUUUAUGGAGUGGGUGGUCUAGAGGGUUAAACCACUGAACUGGUAAAUCAAAAGGUUGCUGGUUCUAUCCUAGUAGCCACCACCAGUGUGUUGCUCAAGGGGGAUUGUCCCUGUAAUAAGUGCACUGUAAGUCGCUUUGGAUAAAAGCAUCUGCUAAAUAACUACACGUAAAUGUAAAUGUUUUUAACAAAUGGAAAGGGCUUGAGAGCUUUCAUAUGAUAUCAAAACCUGUAAUAUGUACAAUUUUGUCAUGUGAUGGCUUUUUCCAGAUCACUUAAUAUUUAUAUAUUAAUUUAAAUGUAAUUCAAGGAGGAUUUUAUAUU